GUCUUUUUGAAAAUAAUUUAAAGUCUAAUCUGCCCACUGAUGAAUAUUAAAGGGCUGCAGUAUAAUGACUGUACAAAGGUAGCAUAAUCAAUAGUUUUUUAAUUGAAAACUUGUAUGAAAGAUUUGAUGAAAUAUAAACUGUCUCUUAUUUAUUUUUAAAAAUUUAUUUUUUAGUUAAAAAGCUAAAAUAAUUUUAAAAGACGAGAAGACCCUAUAGAGUUUUAUAAUUAUUUUUUUUUUAAAAUUAUAUUAAAAUUUUUAUUAAAAUAAAAUUAAUUAUUAUAUUGGGGUGAUAGAAAAAUUAGAAAAACUUUUUUUAAAAAUUAAACAUAAAUAAAUGACUAAAUGAUCCAUUAUUAAUGAUUACAAGAAAAAAUUACCUUAGG
rnacentral:rRNA from 1 species